GCCUUCCAAGAACAUCAGAUCAAUGCAGCAGGUUCUGGUGCCCACAGCUCUCAGCCUUCCUCCCAUUGCCAAGGUUCAGCUGCUGCUUCCUGAAAGGCUGGGCAGGGGCUGAGCCACAUGAAAGCACAGCCCAGUGUGGGGGUGAGUCCUCAGCCCCCUGUCCCAGCUCAAGGCCUCGGGCAGAGGAGUCCAGGAGAGAAUGAACAGAGACACCCACCGUGGAAAGCAGGGUGUGCUCAGGAAGCCUGUCCUGCCCCACAUCCAGGGAGCACAUCAUGAACAGCUGGCAGGGAACAACAGUCUAUCAAGCACC
rnacentral:lncRNA from 1 species